CCUACGGGUGGCAGCAGUGAGGAAUAUUGGUCAAUGGGCGUGAGCCUGAACCAGCCAAGUCGCGUGAGGGAUGAAGGUUCUAUGGGUCGUAAACCUCUUUUAUAAGGGAAUAAAGUGUGCGACGUGUCCUCUUUUGUAUGUACCUUAUGAAUAAGGAUCGGCUAACUCCGUGCCAGCAGCCGCGGUAAUACGGAGGAUCCGAGCGUUAUCCGGAUUUAUUGGGUUUAAAGGGUGCGUAGGCGGGUUUUUAAGUCAGCGGUGAAAGUCUGUGGCUCAACCAUAGAAUUGCAGUUGAAACUGGCGGGCUUGAGUAUGUUUGAGGUAGGCGGAAUGCGUGGUGUAGCGGUGAAAUGCUUAGAUAUCACGAAGAACCCCGAUUGCGAAGGCAGCCUGCCAAGCCACGACUGACGUUGAUGCACGAAAGCGUGGGGAUCAAACAGGAUUAGAUACCCGAGUAGUC
rnacentral:rRNA from 1 species